UACGGAGGGUGCGAGCGUUGUCCGGAAUCAUUGGGCGUAAAGGGCGCGUAGGUGGCGCGGCAAGCGUGCGGUGAAAAGCUCGGGGCUCAACCCCGAGUCGGCCGUGCGAACUGCUGGGCUUGAGCACUGUAGAGGCAGGCGGAAUUCCGGGUGUAGCGGUGGAAUGCGUAGAGAUCCGGAAGAACACCGGUGGCGAAGGCGGCCUGCUGGGCAGUAGCUGACACUGAGGCGCGACAGCGUGGGGGAGCAAACAGG
rnacentral:rRNA from 1 species